rnacentral:pre_miRNA from 1 species
AGGAAUCAUCUGAGAGUCCUGUUAAAAAGCAGACUCUGAAUCUGUAGGUCUGGAGUGAGACCUGAGAAUCUGUGUUUCUAACAGUCCCCAGAAGAGGUAGGA